AUUGAUGUUCCUUUUCACUGAGAUUCAAUCUAGUGAGUAAACAUCAGUGACCUUCAAGCUUCUGAAGUGCAUUUAACUGUUCUCCUGCACCUGCUCAGUUCAGUCUUUCCCUGGUGCUAUUGAGGUGGCCAGUGUAGAGCUUCACAAACUAGAGAAGCAAUGGAUCUGGGUCCUUGAGGAUCACAACAGACAUUUCAACAUUGCCAAUGAAAGAAAAAUGAAAAAUUCACAGCAUGCUAAGACUGAUCACACUGGAAAAAACUUCUUUAAUUCCAUAUUGAUAGUUUAGAAACAAGUGAAAGCUCAGCACUUCAUCCCAGAGGCAGCAAUGCAGGGAUCGAAG